CAAGAUAACGCCACUAUAAACACUUGUCUGCUCCAUAACGGGCUUGGGUCGACCAUCAGGCCUCACUAAGAAGCCGACCGGCGCCACAGAACGAAACGUAAAAAAAGAAAAAGGGCAGAAACAAAACAAAAUCUUGCCUUUCCUCCCUUCCCUGCACACACACACACACACACACACACACACACACACACACACACACACACACACACUCACAUAGCACACCACACACACUUCCACCACACACACCACCGCCAGGACAGGGAAUAAGAGGCUGUAAGUUCACCUAUCAUUUAUUUGUGUCUCUUCUACACAUAUAUAAACCAGCGCCACACACACGCCCGCCGGAAAGGUUGGUUCGUCUUCAGCCUGUGUGGCUCUCGCUCUCUCUUUCUACACCAGGAAUGACUUGUUAUACACCUCAAGUUAUUUGGUAGUUAUGAUUGUUAGUGUUGUUAUUCUUCUUCUUGUUCUUGUUUUAGUUCUUGUUCUUGUUUUCCUUCUUCUACUUCUUCUUCUUCUUCUUCUUCUUCUUCUUCUUGUUUUUAUAUUUUCAUUGUUGUUGUUUUUGGAUUCUCUCCGUUGUCGUUUUAUCACAUUUUUCGGCCCUUUUCUCUCUUUCACACUCAUCGCUUUUCCUUAUGACUUCCUGCCUUGUGACCUCUUAUCUACCUCUCCUCUUCUUCUCUUGAUAAUUCCUCAUGUUAUUUUCUUUCCAUAUGUACUAUUUCCUACUUUCCUUAUCACUCACCAUCUCAAUAACCUUUCAAAGUCCAUAUUUUCUAUUUUGCAUUAACUAACUUUCAUCUAAACAUAUUUUUAUUAUCAUUAUUAUUUAUACAUAGUUUCGACACCUGACGAGCUUGGCGAAAUUAAAGUUUUUUUUGUGACAUUCUAUUAAUAAAGUGAAGCUUCCCAAACAUGUGUGCACAGCGUUGCUUGCUUCAGUUAUGGAUAUAAGAGUAAGUCGAUUGUCGGCAUUUAGAUGUGUGUGUGUGUGUGUGUGUGUGUGUGUGUGUGUGUGUGUGUGUGUGUGUGUGUGUGUGUGUGUGUGUGUGUGUGUGUGUGUGGAGGGUCGUCCCUAUGCGAGCCACGAGGGAAUGGACGAGAUCAAGUAAUUUCCAGCCUCGUGUGAAGAAAAUGGAAAGAGGAGUAGGAGUAGGAGGAGGAGGAGGAGGAGGAGGACGUGAACGAAACUAAAACCAGAAGAGGAGGAUUCGUAAAAAAAAAGUGAAAGUGGAAAAGGAGGAGUAGGUAUGGUGCGCAGGUGAGGUAGAUAAAGGUAGGGCUUGACAGGUAAAGUGGGUUUUAGGGGGCUCUUUCCAAUAAGGUGAGAGGUAUUCGAUAUAGGUGAAAGACAUGAGAGAAACUAAAAGAAGGAUGGAUUUUGGUGAUUCACUUCGUCUUAAAAGAGAGGCAAAAUACAGAUGAGGGAAACAGACUUAAGAGUAGACGACUAAACAGUGAGUGUCUGGUGAGUUAACUGUUAUAGAGGCAGACAAGAGCUAAGAGAAGAUGGCGCCACUAUAAACACUUGCCUGCGCCAUACCCCUAAAGAGAGCCUACCGGCGCUAUAGGCGUACACGUAAAAAGAAAAAAGACAAUGAAAGGUAAAGAGAAAGGAGAAAAGUUGAAGUGACAGGCAAUGAGUGCAGACUAAGCUCUUUAAAUAAACAGCCAGACCGAAUGUGUGUGUGAAAGGAACAGACAGAAGAUGGCCUGACAAGCGAUCUAUUCCGUCUUUUUAUUCAGUACACAGCGUAGAAUCACCCUUAGGUAGACAGACAAAGCAUAUAUAAGUAAAAAAUAACAAUAGACAGGUUUACAGUGCUUGGCGGCUAUCGGCCAUACACAGGUGAACCUUAAUUGAACAGGUGUGAGUCGAUAGGUAUUAUAUGUAGGUCACAGGUAAGACUGGGCAUCCGUUUGUCGUGACCUGUGGUUCGUGUUGGUGUCCGUGGAAUGGUUUUUCGUGUGCAACAAUUUUUUUUUUUUUUUUAAGUUAAGGUCAGCAGGCUAAACUUUUUUUUAAGAUCAACAUACUGAACUUUUGAGUAUUUCUUUCCGGCCAACAUACUGAACUUUGGAAUAUUUUUUUAAAGGUCAACAUACUAAACUUUUGAGUAUUUUUUUAAAGGUCAACUUACUAAACUUUUGAGUAUUUCUUUAAAGGCCAACAUACUAAACUUUUGAGUAUUUUUUAAAGGUCAACUUACUAAACUUUUGAGUAUUUCUUUCCGGCCAACAUACUGAACUUUGGAGUAUUUUUUAAAGGUCAACUUACUAAACUUUUGAGUAUUUCUUUAAAGGCCAACACACCAAACUUUUGAGACUGGGUCGGUAUGACAGAGCAGAGAAGCGUUAAUUGCAAUCCCUUCCAUAACCAUUGCCACGGUAGUAUCAAUGGGUAUUUAAACAACCCAUUUCCAACAUGAUCCACUCUGCACUUACACGGAUCACACCAACACGGAUCACGAGCGGUGGAUUACUACUACUUACACUAUUACUACCAUACUAUUACUUCCGAAUGCCCGGCCUUUACAAAUCGACUCGCUCGGGUAUAUAAAUGAGGUGUUGGCUUACGAAGAGCAGAUUUCAUGAAUAGAGAAAGUGUUGGUAGGAUUUUAUUGUACACACUCGCGCACCUUCUCAACAACCACGUCAUGAAGUCUCACGAAUCCACACGUAACAAGGAUAAGGAGAAAAAAUGUUACGAAGAGGGGAAUGGAGAGUAAAGGAGGAGAGAGGAGAAGGGAAACAGAGAGCGAGAGACAGGAAAUAUGAAAUGGAGGAAACAAACUGAGAGAGAGAGAGAGAGAGAGAGAGAGAGAGAGAGAGAGAGAGAGAGAGAGAGAGCGAGAGAGAGAGAGAGAGAGAGAGAGAGAGAGAGAGAGAGAGAGUUAUUACGGUCUGGCAAAUAGCUAACAUUACCAUUCAUCACUUUUCCCGCCACUGACCUGCUGCUGGUGGUGGUUAGAGAGAGAGAGAGAGAGAGAGAGAGAGAGAGAGAGAGAGAGAGAGAGAGAGAGAGAGAGAGAGAGAGAGAGAGAGAGAGAGAGAGAGAGAGAGAGAGAGAGAGAGAGAGAGAGAGAGAGAGAGAUUGUUUUUCUUCUUUGUUUUUCUAUCCGCCUGUGAUUAUAAAACUGGCCUAGUCUGCAAUCCUCGUAGUAGUGGUGGUGGUAGUGGUGGUUCUUGGUUGCGAGUGAGGGGACGUUGAGGGGAAGUGAAGGGGAAGAAGAAUGGGGAAGAGGGGAAGUGAAGGGAAGGGAAGAAGAGCUUAGAGGACGAAGAGGGAGAAAGAUUAAGAAGUGUCGAGGAAGAAUGAAAGAAAGAAAACGUGCAAAUAGGCGAAGGGGUGCUGAGAGAGAGAGAGAGAGAGAGAGAGAGAGAGAGAGAGAGAGAGAGAGAGAGAGAGAGAGAGAGAGAGAGAGAGAGAGAGAGAGAGAGAGAGAGAGAGAGAGAGAGAGAGAGAGAGAGAGAGAGAGAU